GAUGAACGCUGGCGGCGUGCCUAAUACAUGCAAGUCGAGCGAACAGACGAGGAGCUUGCUCCUCUGACGUUAGCGGCGGACGGGUGAGUAACACGUGGAUAACCUACCUAUAAGACUGGGAUAACUUCGGGAAACCGGAGCUAAUACCGGAUAAUAUAUUGAACCGCAUGGUUCAAUAGUGAAAGACGGUUUUGCUGUCACUUAUAGAUGGAUCCGCGCCGCAUUAGCUAGUUGGUAAGGUAACGGCUUACCACGGCAACGAUGCGUAGCCGACCUGAGAGGGUGAUCGGCCACACUGGAACUGAGACACGGUCCAGACUCCUACGGGAGGCAGCAGUAGGGAAUCUUCCGCAAUGGGCGAAAGCUUGACGGAGCAACGCCGCGUGAGUGAUGAAGGUCUUCGGAUCGUAAAACUCUGUUAUUAGGGAAGAACAAAUGUGUAAGUAACUAUGCACGUCUUGACGGUACCUAAUCAGAAAGCCACGGCUAACUACGUG
rnacentral:rRNA from 1 species